GAUCAGAGAAACUUCAUCAUCACCAUCUUCAUCGCCAUACGAUCAGAGCGUGAGACUUCACAUCUGGAGCACAGGAGAGAUUCUGUGAUAAGUCCUCCUUCUAGCUUGUCCCACAAGCAGUCGAGCUGAGACACUCAGGACUGAACAGACUGCACAGUUUCUGUGACUGAGCCUCCAAAACACCUUCUUUGAAACCACUCAUGAUAGAAGGGCUUCAUAUUUGCAGCAGCACUACUACAGUUGGCAGGAAUGUUGCUGCAGAAAAACAUCCCUGGAGAUCACCAUCAUUGUCAGACUGACUGUGCCUCCUCUGUGCAGUGUCAAGAUCCUCCCUAAAUGAGUGUUCCUCAGCUAUCCUGCUUCUGUGCUGCUUGCCACACAUCAAACACUGGCCGGAUGACAGGGAGGAUCCACUCUGAAGUCACUGGACAUGAUGAGGAACAUAUGGGACUUUAUAGUUUCACAGAAACGUUGUGCUCUGUGAUUACAGGUUUUAAAUGGACAUAAUGACUGCCUCUCUCUGAUCAACAGGCUAAAGGAUUGUUUUCAUUGUUAGUGCUCUGUACAAUGUAUGCUUAUU